UACGUAGGGUGCGAGCGUUGUCCGGAAUUAUUGGGCGUAAAGAGCUCGUAGGCGGUGUGUCACGUCGGUCGUGAAAACUUUCAGCUUAACUGGGAGCUUGCGGUCGAUACGGGCAUCACUGGAGUUCGGCAGGGGAGACUGGAAUUCAAGGUGUAGCGGUGAAAUGCGCAGAUAUCUUGAGGAACACCGGUGGCGAAGGCGGGUCUCUGGGCCGAUACUGACGCUGAGGAGCGAAAGCGUGGGGGGCGAACAGG
rnacentral:rRNA from 1 species